GUCUUUUCCCGAACUUCUCUUACACGGCUUAGGACCUCGAAUAAGUAUAAUUUAUUUCUAUUGUGUUCCGUCUGUGUGAAAUCGAGUCUGUCAUUGUUUGUUUAGUUUUUAGGUUCUUUGCUUAAACCGGAACUAGAGUGUUAGAUGGUUCAACGGUGCUUGUUAAUUUAUAAUUGAUAAUAUAUAUGUAUAUAAUAUAUUGAGGUGAUUUGGGUGUUAGCCGACCAUGGAGACGUAAUUCUGUGUGUCGGCCGGAGACCAGUACAUUGGGUGUGGUGUAUGCUGCGGCACAGCUUAGUCGACCUGUUGUGCCAAGGCUUCGAGGUCGAUAAAUCGUCUACGGGCGUGUGUUACCGAGCACAUAUUCGGUGGUGUUUUGGCCUGUUAGUGGGCAGCGAGUGUGCACCUCGCUAGGACUGUUGUGUGAUCUUUGGGUACUUUAGGUACCGUGUUUGCAACGUGUUAGGAUUAAAUUAUAUUUAUUCGGAGUGCUCUGUCCGGGUCCAUGGACUUCGGGUUUAGUAUCCCAUACCUCACUGAGUGACUUCCCCGUUACUCACCCUUCUCUCUUCCCCAUUUCAGGUGAGACUGACGAGUAUAUGAUAUUUGGACGGAUUGGUGCUACUGGACUUUUUAUUCGGAUUUUUAUUUGGGCUUUGGGUGAGUGUAAUUGAGUAUAUGGACUUUUAUUAUACGAGAUAUUGUUGGUGGCCCGCUGUUGUCCGGAUUGGAGGUGACGGGUGUCACAAAUAUCGCCACGGAAACCAGAACAAGAUAUCGGUAGCUUUACAUGCUACCACACAACGCAACGGUGCAGCUGUUUCUCCAAGAUAUCGGCGUCAUAGCGUUGGAGAACCAUCCACUUCAUCUUCAUGGCUUUAACUUCUUUGAAGUUGGUUAGGAUGAGGUACUUGAACCCUAAGAAAGAUCCAAACAAUUUCAAUUUGGUCGAUCCAGUUGAGAGGAACACAAUCGGAAUUCCAUCUGGUGGAUGGGUCGUCAUCAGAUUCAGACGGAUAAUCCCGGUUUGGUUCAUGCAUUGUCACUUGGAGGUACACACGACUUGGGGAUUAAAGAUGGCUUUUUUGGUGGAGAACGGCAAAGGACCCAAUCAGUAGAUUUUGCCACCGCCUAAAGAUCUUCCCAAGGGUUAGGUCCUUCAACUAAACAAGGCCACGUCUAAGAAGACCAGACUGACCAGUGAAUGGUGAAUUAGUGCGUCGAUGUUCUUAGCAAAUUACCUUUUUUGAGCAAAGCAAAAAGUUCGAAUUUUUGCUCAACAAAAGUUUGAAUAAGAGGAAGAAAAAGAGCAUUGUACAUGUUAUAUCAUUAUAUCAAAAAUUCCAUUUGUAUUUUAUUCUUAUUGCUUCAAACAACUCUUAUAUGACCCAUGCGUUUUAUUUAUUCUUUUGGUCCAACAACUUUAAACAAAAAAUUUGUAGAUAGAGUUUUAAAAAAAUUUGUGUAGAUGGUACAUGGACUUUUAUUUUAUUACACGUCCACUUUUUGUA